rnacentral:lncRNA from 1 species
AGAAGCUGGUUGUUUUGUGAUAGGAACACAUGCAGUUCCAUCAUCAUCUGGAGCUGUUAAUCACAUCCAAAAGUUAUAAACCAUUUUAAAAAAAAAAAUCUAGACACAAUAUGAACUUGGUCAAUUAUAACAAAAUAAACAAAACAAAAGGUAUAAUAAAUCAUCAUGUGUAGUUUAGUAUGAGAGAGAAAGCAAGAAUCGUGAGAUUAUGAUAUGUUCCAAAAUCAACUCAAGCAGAAAAAAAAUACUCAAAAAGAAUAAGAUGAUAGAUUUAUCUAACCUGAAUGAUCUAGACGACAGGUUUGUUCAGCCUAUUCAAAUGCUUCUUCACUUUGAACUUCUGCUUAGAUAUGCCAAACCUUGCGGCUUAGGAUAGUGAAAAGAACCUCCACAGCCAUAAAUACAGUAUGGAACUUCCAGUUAGCUUCUCCUUGCUAAGAUGCAUCCAUAAUAGAUUUAAAUUGU